rnacentral:rRNA from 1 species
UACGUAGGGGGCAAGCGUUGUCCGGAAUCAUUGGGCGUAAAGAGCGUGUAGGCGGUCCGGUAAGUCCGCUGUGAAAGUCGGGGGCUCAACCCUCGAAUGCCGGUGGAUACUGUCGGGCUAGAGUGCGGAAGAGGCGAGUGGAAUUCCUGGUGUAGCGGUGAAAUGCGCAGAUAUCAGGAAGAACACCCGUGGCUAAGGCGGCUCUCUAGUACGGUACUGACGCUGAGACGCGAAAGCGUGGGGAGCGAACAGG